rnacentral:rRNA from 1 species
UGAGAGGUUGAACAGCCACAUUGGGACUGAGACACGGCCCAAACUCCUACGGGAGGCAGCAGUAGGGAAUUUUCGGCAAUGGAGGAAACUCUGACCGAGCAACGCCGCGUGAAUGACGAAGUACUUCGGUAUGUAAAGUUCUUUUAUCAAGGAAGAAAAGCAAAUGGCGAACCAUUUGUUUGCCGGUACUUGAUGAAUAAGCCCCGGCUAAUUAUGUGCCAGCAGCCGCGGUAAGACAUAAGGGGCAAGUGUUAUCCGGAAUUAUUGGGCGUAAAGGGUGCGUAGGCGGUCUAGUAAGUCAGUGGUGUAAUGGCAACGCUUAACGUUGUCCGGCUAUUGAAACUGCUAAACUUGAGUUAGAUAGAGGCGAGUGGAAUUCCAUGUGUAGCGGUAAAAUGCGUAAAUAUAUGGAGGAACACCAGAGGCGUAGGCGGCUCGCUGGGUCUUAACUGACGCUGAGGCACGAAAGCGUGGGGAGCAAACAGGAUUAGAUACCCUGGUAGUCCACGCCGUAAACGAUGAGUACUAAGUGUCGGGUUAAACCGGUACUGAAGUUAACACAUUAAGUACUCCGCCUGAGUAGUACGUACGCAAGUAUGAAACUUAAAGGAAUUGACGGGACUCCGCACAAGCGGUGGAUCAUGUUGUUUAAUUCGAAGAUACCCGAAAAACCUUACCAGGUCUUGACAUGUUUUUGCAAAAUGAUAGUAAUAUCGUGGAGGUUACCAGAAACACAGGUGGUGCAUGGUUGUCGUCAGCUCGUGUCGUGAGAUGUUAGGUUAAGUCCUAAAACGAGCGAAACCCUUAUCGUUAGUUGCCAGCACGUUAUGGUGGGGACUUUAACGAGACUGCCAAUGAUAAAUUGGAGGAAGGUGAGGAUCACGUCAAAUCAGCAUGCCCCUUAUGACCUGGGCUACAAACGUGAUACAAUGGCUGUUACAAAGGGUAGCUGAAACGCAAGUUCUUGGCCAAUCCCCAAAAACAGUCCCAGUCCGGAUUGAAGUCUGCAACUCGACUUCAUGAAGUGGAAUCGCUAGUAACCCGAAACAACAUUCUCGGGGAAACGUUCC